rnacentral:rRNA from 1 species
UCAAGCUACUAAGGGCAUACGGUGGAUGCCUAGGCGCCAAGAGCCGAAGAAGGACGCGGUAAGCUGCGAAAAGCCACGGGGAACUGCAAGCAAGUAUUGAUCCGUGGAUAUCCGAAUGGGGAAACCCGGCCAUCGUCAUGGAUGGUCACCCGCAAGGGAGGGAACCUGGGGAACUGAAACAUCUAAGUACCCGGAGGAAGAGAAAUCAAACGAGAUGCCCACAGUAGCGGCGAGCGAAGAGGGCAGAGCCCAAACCGAGAAGCUCCGGCUUUUCGGGGUUGAGGACCGGCAGAAUCGAAGUCAGGCCUAGUUGAAUUACCUGGAAAGGUAAGCGAGAGAGGGUAAAAGCCCCGUAGACGAAAGGCAGAGCAGAGAGGCCGAGAUCCAGAGUACCACGAAGCACGAGGAAUUUUGUGGGAAGCAGGGGGGACCACCCUCCAAGGCUAAAAACUACUUGGCGACCGAUAGCGCAUAGUACCGUGAGGGAAAGGUGAAAAGAACCCCGGGAGGGGAGUGAAAUAGUACCUGAAACCGUAUGUCUACAAGCAGUCGAAGCGAAAGCGACGGCGUGCCUAUUGAAGAAUGAACCAACGAGUUAUCUGCACUAGCGAGGUUAAGUGGAAGACACGGAGCCGCAGCGAAAGCGAGUCUUAAGAGGGCGCUAGUUAGUGUAGGUAGACCCGAAACCGCAGUGAUCUACCCAUGUCCAGGUUGAAGCGCAGGUAAAAUUGCGUGGAGGACCGAACCGGUGAGCGUUGAAAAGCUUUCGGAUGAGAUGUGGGUAGGGGUGAAAUUCCAAUCGAACGCGGAGAUAGCUGGUUCUCCCCGAAAUAGCUUUAGGGCUAGCCUGAGGUAGUAAGUAUAGGCGGUAGAGCACUGAUCGGGCUAGGGGCCGUAAAGGUUACCGAACCCUGUCAAACUCCGAAUGGAUAUACUGUAGAGCCUUGGAGUCAGACUACGAGUGAUAAGAUCCGUGGUCAAAAGGGAAACAGCCCAGACCACCAGCUAAGGUCCCCAAUGUCGUACUAAGUGGAAAAGGAUGUGGGGUUUCAUAAACAACCAGGAUGUUGGCUCAGAAGCAGCCACCAUUUAAAGAGUGCGUAAUAGCUCACUGGUCGAGAGACCCUGCGCCGAAGAUUCCCGGGGCUAAAGUACGAAACCGAAGCUGUGGCUGUAUACGUAAAGUAUACGGGGUAGGGGAGCGUUCCCAUAGGGUAGAAGUCGAACUGGAAGGUUCGGUGGACUUGUGGGAAGUGAGAAUGUUGGUAUGAGUAGCGAAAAGAAAGGUGAGAAUCCUUUCCACCGAAAGCAUAAGGAUUCCUGAGCAACGAUCGUCGUCUCAGGGUAAGUCGGGACCUAAUCCGAGGCAGAGAGCGUAGGAGAUGGACAACUGGUUGAUAUUCCAGUACCGGUAGUAAUUGUUUGAGCAAUGGAGUGACACAGAAGGGCAGGCAAGCAUGCGAAUGGAAGAGCAUGUGUAAGCGUGUAGGGUGGUGCAUAGGCAAAUCCGUGCACUGAAAGCCUGAGGCGUGAUGCGGAGUGAGCAGAGAUGCGAGCGAAGUUGUUGACCCCACACUGUCGAGAAAAGCUUCUAGUGAGAGAGCUACCGCCCGUACCGUAAACCGACACAGGUAUGCGGGGAGAGAAUCCUAAGGUGCGCGGGAGAACCCUCGUUAAGGAACUCGGCAAAAUGUACCCGUAACUUCGGGAUAAGGGUAGCCACUGUUGUGAAGUCCCAUGCGGAUGGAGCAUAGAGUGGUCGCAGAGAAGAGGCCCAAGCGACUGUUUACCAUAAACACAGGUGCCUGCUAAAGCGAAAGCUGACGUAUAGGUGCUGACACCUGCCCAGUGCCGGAAGGUUAAGGAAGGAUGUUCGGAGUAAUCCAAAGCAUUCGACUGAAGCCCCGGUGAACGGCGGCCGUAACUAUAACGGUCCUAAGGUAGCGAAAUUCCUUGUCGGGUAAGUUCCGACCCGCACGAAAGG